rnacentral:sRNA from 1 species
UAUACCUAGAAAACCCUAAAGACCCAUCCAAAAAGAUCCUAGAUCUGAUAAAUAAAUUCAGCAAAGUUUCAGGAUACAAAAUCAAUGUACGCAAACCAGUAGCACUGCUAUACACCAACAGCAACCAAGCUAAGAAUCAAAUCAAUUACUCAACCCCCCUUACAACACCUGCCAAAAAAAAAAAAAAUAAUAAUAACGAUAAUAAUAAUACUUAGGAAUAUACCUAAUCAAGGAGGUGAAAGAGCUCUAAAAGGAAAACUACAAAACACUGCUGAAAGAAACCACAGACACACACAAAUGGAAACACAUCCCAUGUUCAUGGAUGGGUAGAAUCAAUAUUGUGAAAAUGACCAUACUGCCAAAAGCAAUCUAUAAAUUUAAUGUAAUUCCCAUCAAAAUGCCAUCAUCUUUCUUCAUAGAACUAGGAAAAAACAAUCCUGAAAUUCAUAUGGAACAAAAUAAAAGCCUGCAUAGCCAAGCAAGACUAAACAAAAAGAACAAAUCUGGAGGCAUCUUAUUACCCGACUUCAAACUACACUACUAGGCUAUUGUUACCAAAAUAGCAUGGUACUUGUACAAAAACAGGCACGUAGACCAAUGGAACAGAAUAGAGAACCCAGAAAUAAAGCCAAAUACUUAAAACCAUCUGAUCUUCGACAAAGUAAACAAAAACAAAGUGGGGAAAGGACACCCUAUUGAACCAAUGGUGCUGGGAUAACUGGCAAGCCACAUGUAGGAGAAUUAAACUGGAUCCUCAUUUCUCACCUUAGCAGAAAACUCAAGAUGGAUGGAAGACUUAAAGCUAAGACCUGAAACUAUAAAAAUUCUAGAAGAUAACAUUGGAAAAACUCUUCUGGACAUUGGCUUAAGCAGAGUUCAUGACCAAGAACCUAAAUGCAAAUGCAACAAAAACAAAUAGAUGGGACUUAAUUAAGCUAAAAAGCUUCUGCAUAGCAAAAUAAUCAGCAGAGUAAACAGACAACCCACAGAGUGGGAGAAAAUCUUCGUAAACUAUGCAUCCGAGAAAGGACUAAUGUCCAGAAUCUAUAAGGAACUCAAAAAGUCAGCAAGAAAAAAACAAUCCCAUCAAAAAGUGGGCUAAGGAUAUGAACAGACAAUUCUCAAAAGAUAUACAAAUGGUCAAGAAACAUAUGAAGAAAUGCUCAACAUCCCUAAUUAUCAGGGAAAUGCAAAUCAAAGCCACAGUGCAAUACCACCUUACUCCUGCAAUAAUGGCCGUAAUUUAAAAAUAAAAAACAUUUCAGAUGUUGGCGUGGAUGUGGUAAUAAGGGAACACUUCUACACUGCUGGUGGGAAUGUAAACUAGUACAACCACUAUGGUAAACAGUAUGGAGAGUCCUUAAAGAACUGAAAGUAGAACUAUCAUUUGAUCUAGCAAUCCCACCACUGGGUACUACCCAGAGGAAAAUAAGUCAUUAUAUAAAAAAGACACUUAAACACACACAUUUAUAGUAGCACAAUCUGCAAUUGCAAAAAUAUGGAACCAACCUAAAUGCCCAUCAACUAAUGAGUGGAUAAAGAAAAUGUGGUGUACAUAUACCACGGAAUGCUACUCAUCCAUGAAAAGGAGAGAAAUAAUGGCAUUCACAGCAACCUGAAUAGAGCUGGAGACCAUUAUUCUAAGCGAAGUAAUUCAGGAAUGGAAAACCAAACAUUCUAUGUUUUCAGUUAUAAAUGGGAGCUAAGCAAUGAGGAUGCAAAGGCUUAAGAAUGAUAUAAUGGACUCUGGGGACUUGGUGGGAAGAGUGGGAGGCAGUGGGGGAUAAGAGUACACAAUGGGUGCAGUGUACUGCUUGAGUGAUGGGUGCACCAAAAUCUCAGAAAUCACUACUAAAGAACUUACCCAUGUAACCAAAUACCCUACCUGUUCCCCAAAAACAACUGAAAUAGUGAUAACAAAUUUUAAAAAAGUGAAUGAAAAGAUGAUUUAGAGAUAUUUGAAUGCGAGAAACAAUUCAAAAUGUGGAAAAUAAUUUCCACUUAACAUCUUUCUUAAAAAGAACCCCCCGCCAACCCCUGAAUUUUAUUAACCAAAUUUAGGAGAGUUCAUUUCCCAAAACGAUAAUGACACCUUUCACAUGGACACUGCUUUUAAAAGAUAUUAAAUGCAUUUUCUUACCUUGAAAUGAGCCAGCAAAGUCAAAAUCAUCUGUACCUUUUCUCUUGCUUCUCUUAGUACUGACUUUGGAGUGGACUUCAAGUUCUGUUACAUGAAAAAAUUUGCUAUUAAGCAAUUUAAAAACAAUAGGACUGGAAAAUAUUACUCCAAGAUAUGCUAAAAUCUUUAUUCUGAUGGUAAGGCACUAUACUGCUAUUCCAUGUGGGUUUUGUAAUUCCACUAGCAUAGGCUUGAGGACAGACUGAGAUCAAGACUCUAAGAAUUGGCACAGUUCUAAUAUUUUGUGCAAGUAUAAAAUUUUCUAAAUAGCUUCAUUAAUAAGACCAAAUAAUAUAAAACCCCUUAAAACAAGAAAUUUCUGCUGUGGUUCAGAAUAAGUAGAAGAAUGUUGGGCAGACAUGUGCAUGCUGGAGGUAUGUGAAAGGACAGAAAGGUCAGACAACAGUCUAGAGACAAUUCUGGGUGUUCCUUGCUAAUUUACAACAAGAUAAAAUAUUCACCUUCAUCUAUGCUGGGCUAUGAUGAAUACUGAUUAACUUUUAUAAACUGUUAAUUACUAUUAAAAAAUGGCAGCAUUUCAGCUCAACAUGUAUUGUACAGAGAAGCUAGCUGCUGGUUAAAGUAAAAGUCCAAAGCUCAAAAAGCUGCUUAAAAGAAAACACACAUAACACACAAUAAAAACCCUUCAGCUCCAAAGGAGAACGAAAAGGUCCUUUUAAGUUUCUGGCUGACAUGAGUAUUAAUUUGAAUACAGGGCUAUAUUAAAAACCUUUAGCAGAAAAACAAACUUAAGGCUAAGCAAGUGAGGAAGAUACAGUUUAUGUCUUAUUUUAAAAAGUGCUUACCUGGAACGCUCUCACUUUCAUCAUCUGACACAUCCAUGAAUGUUCCUCCAUCUUCAUCAACUUCAGCAAAUUCUUCAUCACCCAUACUUCCUAAAGAAACUUCAUCAUCAUCCAGAUUACCAAGUUCAUCAUCACUACCUUCUGAAUCUUCAUCUAAUGUGUUAUCCUUAGCUCCUUUUGUUCUCUUUUUCACGUUUCUGGAAAAAAACACAACUUGUAAUACAAGAGGAGGCAGUAUUUUCUAAAGUAGUGUUUUGUUGACUACUAAGGCAGUAGCUAUUAAACGACUUAGAAGGAGAAAGCUUUGCAGACUGCUCAGAGUAAAUAAUAACGUGCUUUAUAAAGGUCAAAGAUGAAAGUACUGUAUCCACUUCCCAAACUUACUUGAAUACAUUUCCCCUUUAUCAUAUAGUUCUGUGGUCUACUGUUCUGAGGGACAACAAUUUGGGAAAUGCUAGAAAAAUAGGAAGGAGAAGAUAGAAGUAUGUUACCCAGCAAAAUCCAUAUCAUCCUUUCCAGAGCUGAAACAGUUAUCAUCUUCAAAUGUGUCUGCCAGAGAAUACAGAAAUUGUGAGAUACAACAAAGAAUGACAAGCUUGACAUACAUCUUGUAUCUGAAUCAAUUAUUCUAACAGUCAUGAUUUUGCUGUUUAUGACAAGUGAACACCAAAACAAUAUAAAUGUAACUGUUGCUAGUGUGUCUUAAUAAUGUAUACAAACCUGUGAAAUACUGAUCUUAGUUAAAUCCCAAAACUAAAGAAGGAUCCAGUUAAUUUCGGCUCUUUCUACAGUUCUUUUAUGGAAUGAGGAUAAAUAUCAAAUAAAAUGAUAUUUAGC